ensembl:lncRNA
CGGCCGACAGCGCUGUAAACAACAGUAGACUUGUGUAACAAGCAAGCGAAUAAUGCAGAAAACAGAUUUUUAGACGGGAAACUGUUCUUGAAGUACAGAGAGAGAGAGCUGUGCAUGAAGUGUGAUUUUAUCAUGGUGGAAGAAAAACAGUAAAAGUCAGAGUGAUUUCAUGACGAUGUUUAUGUGAAGCGUAGUUUGGAUCUUCUUUUGCUGCUGGUUCAGUCAAUAUUGUUUGGAGAGAGAUAAAACUAACAGCUUCAUGGUGCGUUCACACCGAACGCGAUAGAGGCGGCCAGAGCGUCAGGUUUACAUGUAAAGUCAAUGGAAAGAUAUGGCAAGCCAUUAGUGCCAAAAUUCGCCACUUUUCUAACCCGUUUGAUUAAGAAACGGCGUAAAAAACGCCGUUUAAUUAUUCAAAACGCCGAAAAAAACGGCGUUCUGUUUCGACAAACGCCGUUUUUUCCGACUCUCACAUGGCGCCCUGAACGCACCAUCCGAGUGACGUAAAAAGCGGCGUUCAAAGACACACGGAAACGCCGUUUUUUACGCCACUCGGCAGAAAACGCCGUUCAAAGAUGCAUAAAAACGGCGUUUUUUACGGCGUUCUGUGCCAGCUGUAACGGCGUUUAAAACGGCGUUUUAUUGAAAUUAUGCAGGGCACUCCCCAUGGUUCCCUCAUCCAAUUACUUUCAACUCAUUUCACCCAAUCAAAGAAGAGGAAGUGCAGACCACACUAAUGCAUCACCGAUUCACCUUGCUGCUAAGUGAUUGCCUAUUCAGUACCAGUGCUUGUCACAGUAUUGACUUGUAUUAUAAUCCCACUAUGCAUUUUGAUGUGUUUAAGGCAUGAUCAAGCAAACAAACGACAGAAUACUUUUUCUGAAACCUUAACUGUGAUACCUGUUAUGGCAGCUAACAGACACUCGGCGCAUGGCUCCUUUGUUUACGUUAGGGAUCAGCUGUUAGCGCUGCGCCCUGCAGCUGCGCUACCGGCAGACAGACCCUACGUCCCCAGUGAGGGAAGAGACGGGGGUGAUGUCUCCCGAGAAGGACACCUUACACACCAUCUCUCCUUCCUGUAAUCACUGUAAACGUGAGAUCGCUCCCUGAUAUGAUUGAGGAGCUAAUGACGCUAACCCGGUCACAGUGGCAGUACCCCGACACUGCCCGGUACUCCCUCUGUGAGUAGGCUGCCCGGCUUCCAGCUGCUGCGGCCGGACAAGACCAGAGACAGCGGUGAGAGGAAAGGAGGGGACUGGGCAGUGUUUGUUAAAGACAGUUGUGGUAUCCCUGGGCACAUUGCUGUGAAAGAACAACUCUGCAACAGAGACAUUGAGCUAUUAGCCGUUAGCAUCCGUGGAGGCAGCCUGUGACUCUCUGUGGUCCGCAGACUGCAGACGCAAUCUCCGAGAGCUCUUCUUCUAAUAUCAGGGACUUUAAUCAUGUCUCGCUGGACUCCACACUGCCCACCUUCACCCAGUAUGUGACCUGCCCCACCGUAGGCAAUAAAACAUUGUACUUAAUGUAUGCCAAUGAAAAAGUGGCAUACAGUUCAUCACCUCUCCCUGCCCAGGGAAGAUCUGAUCGUAACCUAGUGCACCUUGUCCCUGUGUGCAGCACUUGUGCACGGAGCCACCAAUCACCCACGCAGUGCAGAGAUGGUCCGCGGAGGGCAUAUGAAUAAAUAAUAAAAGCAAAUAAAUGACAGAAUGCUUUUUCUGAAACAAACGGAGACCUUAACUUUUAUCAAAAUACCAUUUUACUCAGUUUAAAGUAAUACCACUGUAUAAUAGCCUUCAAUUGUAAUAUUAUUAACAGCAUCUCAGGAAUAUUUUGCCCCUUCAACAUGCAUUGAAAAAUAACCUGAUAUGCAGUUUUACACCACCGUCAUUGGCCUCAUUAAAGAUGGUGUUGAGUCUGUACACCGGCAGGAAGUUGAGAAGCUUGUACUCUGGUGUAGUCAGCACAAGCUGGAACUGAACACGCUUAAGACUGUGGAGAUAUCCUCAACACUGCCUCCCUCACCAUAUCUACACCAGUUCUACACUGCAGUCAUUGAGUUUCUCCUGUGCUCCUCCAUCACAGUCCGGUAUGAAGCAGCCACUAAGCAGGACAGGAGCAGGCUGCAGUGGACUGUACUGGCAGCAGAAAAGAUCAUUGGCACCCCCUGCCCUCCAUCCAGGACCUGCACCUCUCAAGAACCAGGAAACGGGAAGGGAAAAUCAUCACAGACCCCUCACACCCUGGACACAGACUUUUUUGACCUGCUGCCCUCUGGCAGACGGUACAGAAGCCUUCAAACCAGGACCACCUGACACAGGAACAUUUUCUUUCCCCUCGCCAUCUCCCUCCUAAGUGGUUGAACUGUCACACUGCUAGACUGCAACUGCAGUCUUUGGUAUUAACUUCUGUAAUCUCUGUAUAAAAGAAUUAGAUUGUGUAUUAUAUUGUUAGUUUAUACACCUGUGUGCAUAUGUGCAUGUGUAUUUAUGCAUGUCCAUACACAUAGAUGGAUUGUGUUUUACAUUUUUUUGCUUGAGAGACGCCCUCAAUCGGAACCUAAUUCCUUGUAUGUGUUUGUGCAUAUACUUUGCCAAUAAACGCGAUUCUGAUUAUGAGGUAUUUCCCUCUGGAUGGCACACACACGUAAAUUAAGUAGAAAAAAUGUCAUGUGUAUUGCCUCUUUUAAAAUUCUUUUUGGAAACCACAAGAAGAGAAAUAUGUGGCAUUCCCUUAUGUCAUUUUACAUCUGUCAGUAGACAAUUGUGAACAUAUUUUGAUCUGGCUUUUUUUCCUUAACUCAAUAGACCUGGCACACAUUCUACAAAGACAACUCACUUCCUCUGUUUCAAGCUCUUUGCUUUAAGCAGCUAAAGGGGAGUUAAUUUUCUUCUUCCGA